AUGUGGUUUAAUUCGAUGCAACGCGAAAAACCUUACCCACCUUUGACAUGUACGGAACCCUUUAGAGAUAGAGGGGUGCUCGAAAGAGAGCCGUAACACAGGUGCUGCAUGGCUGUCGUCAGCUCGUGCCGUGAGAUGUUGGGUUAAGUCCCGCAACGAGCGCAACCCUUGCUAUUAGUUGCUAACAGGCAGAGCUGAGCACUCUAAUGGGACUGCCGGUGACAAGCCGGAGGAAGGUGGGGAUGACGUCAAAUCAUCAUGCCCUUUAUGACCUGGGCUACACACGUGCUACAAUGGAUGGUACAGAGAGCAGCGAGGCAGCGAUGUGGAGCGAAUCUCAAAAAGCCAUUCUCAGUUCGGAUUGGAGUCUGCAACUCGACUCCAUGAAGUCGGAAUCGCUAGUAAUCGCGAAUCAGCAUGUCGCGGUGAAUGCGUUCCCGGGCCUU
rnacentral:rRNA from 1 species